UGUUGCAUGGCUGUCGUCAGCUCGUGUCGUGAGAUGUUGGGUUAAGUCCCGCAACGAGCGCAACCCUCAUCCUUAGUUGCCAUCAGGUAAUGCUGAGUACUUUAAGGAAACUGCCAGUGAUAAGCUGGAGGAAGGUGGGGAUGAUGUCAAGUCAUCAUGGCCUUUAUGGAGUGGGCUACACACGUGCUACAAUGGUGUCUACAAUGGGUUGCAAGGUGCGCAAGCCUAAGCUAAUCCCUAAAAGACAUCUCAGUUCGGAUUGUACUCUGCAACUCGAGUACAUGAAGUUGGAAUCGCUAGUAAUCGUGGAUCAGCAUGCCACGGUGAAUACGUUCUCGGGUC
rnacentral:rRNA from 1 species